rnacentral:lncRNA from 10 species
GGUUACUUCCUCAUACCUGCAAUUCCGUAGCUGGGGAAGCAAAAAACAGAAAUUUGGUCUCUGGUAGUGGGUCCACUUCCACCCCAUUUCAGACUCUACAGACCAAGCUUGCCUGCAGCCUGUACCUCCAAAAUGUGGAGGUGGGGAGGUCUAAGAAAGAGGGGGAUCACUUGCAAAUAUAAGGAAAUCAGACGCACCCGGUGCUACAGAAAUGGGCCAGGAGAAAACUCAGCAUUUUGACUGGGAUUUUGUUCCAACCAAGCAACUCUCUUCUACUUUCGUUGUGUACGGUUGGCACCAGAGAAAACUCUUCAAAGAACUACAGGGGGCCGGGCGCAGUGACUUAUGCCUGCAAUCCCAGCACUUUGGGAGGCUGAGGUGGGCAGAUCACUUGAGAUCAGGAGCUCAAGACCAGCCUGACCAACAUGGUGAAAUCUGUCUCUACUAAAAUACAAGAAUUAGCUGGGUGUGGUGGCUCACGCCUGUAAUCCCAGCUACUCGGGAGGCUGAGGCAGGAGAAUCGCUUGAACCUGGGAGGCAGAGGUUGCAGUGAGCCAAGAUCACACCACUGCACUCCAGUCUGGGGGACAGAGCAAGACUCUGUCUCAAAAAAUAAAUAAAUAAAUAAAUAAAAGAAAUAUAGGGGAACAACCCAGCAUCAGCCCACAUGAAACUAUUAGGUUAGCUGCUAUAACAAAUAAACCACCAAGUUUUAACAGCUUAACACCUUAAGAACUGAGCUAUCUACGUAACAGUCCAAAGCUGUUAUUUCUGAUUGGUGGGUAGUUUUGCCCAUAUGGUGAUUAAGGGACCUGUUCCCUCCACCCGUGGCUCACCAGCCCCUAGACCUCAAAGGUUUCCGCAUUCACUGGCAGACAGGAAAUGACAAUAGAAGAAGCCCAGCCUGUAUCUUAAAAGCCCUGACCCAGAAGUUAGUGGCAUUCCAUCUGGUCUCAUUCAGUUGGUGAGAAGAGUCUUAUGGCUACCCCUAGAGAGAAAAUAGAAGAUAAAGUCCCUGACUGGACAUCUCCUCCCAGCAACAACUCCACACUAUGCAAAGCAGAAUACAAACUUUCAGUGGAUUGACAUUCAUCUCUACCAAAGAGCUCUUUUCUAAUUCACAUGAAGGUGAUUUCCUCCUUGCUAAAGCCCUGGAAAUCUAAAUUGGAAAGAAAGUUAGAAAUCUACUGUGACAUGCUACAAAUGCAGAUGUGCCACAAACACCACAGAAUGGUCAUCCAGCCAGUGCCAGAUCAUCAUGAGAAAGUUUUGUUAGAAAAGUUUUCCUUUCAUAGUCCCAGGUGAGCCAUCUGUUGCAACCCAGGGUAAGUAUACGCAUGUACCUCAUCAGACCUCAGUCCAAAUAAAUGUAGCUGUCUGUAGUCCUCCUUUUUCCCCACUAAAUGCUCAUAGUUGUUCAAAUGUUCUUCAUAUACUAUGGUUUUCAGACUCUCCACCAUCAUGUCUUCUCUCCACUGCAAAGUGCAUCAUUUGUCAUGGUUCCCGAAGGAUUAAGACCCCUGCCAAAUGAAUACAAUACUCCAGACGCAUGACUGGAUAUCCCAUUUGGUGUCAUCUUUUCUAAGUUACACUAAUGGGGCUCACAGCUUUUCCUUCACCUUUGUUUUCUCCUUUUUCCUAGAUUUUAAUUUCUUUAUUCACACUUUCCAAACCAACUGAUAUCUUUAGCCUUAAUCUGUCUGCUCUCAUUGUUAUUUAAAUUCCUGCCAGUCACUUUCUGGCCCAUCACCAAAUUAACAUUCUUGCAAGGGCUGUUCAGAAAGUAAAUUUACAAGGUGUUUUUAGAAAACUGAUUUUAAGAGAUGGCAAGUAAUCCCUAUAAGUAUUUAAACAGCAGCUGAUUGCUAUGUUUCCACAUAAUCCAACAGAUUCACACAUUUUUUAGACCACAGGGCCAGCUUUUUAUGCCAGCUGAGUAAAAGUUGCAGGGUCUUUGGUUAUUAAAUCAACUUAAUAUCAUAUCAGUGAACACACGCUUUAUUGAGUCUCGGGGUUGUUGCAAAUAAUGUCUCCAAGAGACAGAAUGAGUUUUGCUUGAAACUGGGGCACUGAUACUUUCCCACUUCGAGUAUUGAUUUGUUUAGUGAUUUGUCCUCUGUGUGGUUCCAGGUCCUUAGGUUACAUCUCCUUAUUCACUGCUAUUCUACUUUCUCCCCAGAACUGGACGUGUCAUUCUAAUACAUUUUCAAUUAAAAAUGUCUUUGACAUAAAUUUAAACAAGUUAACUGUGAAAUUCUGCAGCAGACUCUACUUUUUUUCAUUUAAAAAAUGGAAACACAUGUUAUAAAAGAACAUUUAAUGACAUGGAAAAAUAUUCAAGAUAUAUUGGUAAAGGAAAAAAGCAGAUUUCUAAAGCACAAACACAAGAUGAAUCCAUAUUCGAAAAAUAGAAUACAGUAUGUGUGCACAUGUGCACAUAUAUGCUUGUAUAGGAAAAUCUGAGAAAGAUUUUCUUCAGGUUAUCAGGUCCUCUCUUUUACAUUUUCUAAAGAUCACUUUCGUCCUUCUUCUUUCUCAGCUAUAUUUUCUACAUUUUCUGUAAUGAACACUACAACUUUAAUAAAAACAAAACUUAAUGUUACUUAUCUUUAAUGUAAUAAAAAUGGAAGCAUAACUCUAAACAAUUAAACAUGAUACCACAUGUCCAGAAAAAGUCCUCUUUGUUUUGAGACAGAGGCUCAGUCUUCUUUUUUUUUUUUUUUUUGAGACAGAGUCUCGCUCUGUCACCCAGGCUGGAGUGCAGUGGUGCAAUCUCCGCUCACUACAAGCUCCGCCUCCCGGGUUCACACCAUUCUACUGCCUCAGCCUCCUGAGUAGAUGGGACUACAGGCACCCACUACCAUGCCUGGCUAAUGUUUUGUAUUUUUAGUACAGACAGGGUUUCACUGUGUUAGCGAGGAUGGUCUCGAUCUCCUGACCUCGUGAUCUGCCGGCCUUGGCCUCUGAAAGUGCUGGGAUUACAGGUUUGAGCCACCGCGCCUGGCCCUCACACUUCUUGCUCUGUCACCCAGGCUGGAGUGCAGUGGCACCAUCUCAGCUCACUGUAACCUCUGCUUCCUGGGUUCAAGUGAUUCUCCUUCCUCAGCCUCCAAAAUAGCUGGGACUACAGGCACACACCACUAUGCCUGGCUAAUUUUUUGUACUUUUAGUAGAGAUGGGUUUCACCAUGUUGGCCAGGCUGGUCUCAAACUCCUGACCUCAGGUAAUCCACCUGCCUCAGCCUCUCAAAAUGCUGGGAUUAUAGGCAUGAGCCACCAUGUCCAGCGAAAAAUUCCGUUUCUAUAGUCACGAUCCACAGUACUUUCUCUGUGCCUUUAGUGCCUAAAGAAACAUUGUUAUGGACUAAAUGUUUGUCUCCUCCCAAAGAUCCAACCCCCAGUGUGACUGUAUUUGGAGACAGAGCCUUUAUGAAGGUAAUUAAAGUUAAAAGAGGUCACGGGGUGGAGCCCUGAUCCAAUAGAUUUAGCGUCCUUGUAAGAAGAGACACGAAAGAGCAAGCUCUCUCUCCAUCUUGUGAGGACACAGUGAGAAGGUGGCCAUCUGCAAACCAGAAAGUAAGUGCUCCCUCACCAGGAACUGAACUGGCCUACACCUUGAUCUUGGACUUCCCAGCCUCCAGAACUGUGAGGAAAUACAUUUCGGUUGGUAAAUUUUUAUGGUAUUUUGUAAUAGCAGCCUGAUCUGACUAAUACAAACAUCAUGGCCCAACAAAAUUGUCUUUAUUACUGUGCAUUGGUAAUUAACCUCAUCGUUGAGCUUUUGAGCAAUUGCACCAUUGAUACCCCUGUUCACUGUUAUCAAGAUGUGGAAGAAGAGACAGUGCUUUUUCACUGACUUCCAAAUGUUCCAGAGCUACUUUUCCUUCUAGGCAUUUUUUAUUCUUCUCUACACCCUGCUGAUGACACUGCCUGUUCAUCUUUGGGGCCAAAGUGGUUCACACACACUCAGUCAAGAAUGCAGUAUGCACUUAGUAAAUAUGGACAGAGCUAAUGACACACACGUGGUGGGGAUGGCAGGGAAAUUUUUUGGUGCAUAAUUGACAUAGAGUCAGAAGUCAGAAAGGCAGAUGGAAAUAAAGAAAGGAGUGUGGAAGGGACUUGAUGAGAACAUCUUAAUCUAUGAAACCCAAAGAUAUUUGCUGUAGGCCUAGAAUGUAAAUUCAAAUUAAAUCAAGCACAACAACUCAAAGCAAAAACUCCUCAUAAACAAUCUCCCACUGACUUCAAAGGUAGAUUUGGGCCACAGGGCAGAGAGGAAAAGAGGUUAUGGAAUGUACCAGAAGCUUUGCAUUUGUCUACUGCAGAGUAGAAUUAAACCCUGGAGGUUACUGACAUCCCCCUGGGUCUUCGUGAUCCCAUAGGACAGGUUGGACAGUCCUCCACUGUCCAAAUGUUAGCGUCCCUCUGAAUGCUCAUUUUAAUUGGAAUCUCUGGGUACAUGCGCUCCUCUAGUUCAAGGGCUCUGGGUGCAUAAGUGGAAACAAAGCUUGCUACAGAACGUACCUCCCUCCCUCUUGGUUCAGGAACAUAUUUCAAAAUGCCACUUUAUUAGCAGCUAAACAAAAACACCUCUUCGACAGGGAUGAGGGAGCGUGGAGUAAACAUGUCAUCCCUACCUAUUGUUCUGCAGAGUCGAAAUUCUCCUAAGAUUGAUUAUAAAAGGCAGUUAUAGAGGAAACUGUUUGAGUCUGCUGAAUUAAAAACAAACAGUGAGGCAUUCAACGACGAACAGAUCUGAUGGAUUAAAAUGCACCGAAGAAAGACAUCUCAAGCGAUGCCUGAAUAGGCCAAGUCAGAAUGAGAGGAAAUUUGGCCUGCAAUUUCCAAUCAAGGGAAAACUGGCAAAGCAACAGAAUUUGAGGCUUCCUCAGAUUUACACUUUAUCUGCUAAUUAGCAUUAACAUGCGUGGUAGAGGUAUCUCACCAGCUUGUGGCACAAUAAAAAACGGAAUGUGUUAUCACCACAGAAUGUGUAAUUACUUUAAGCACUGGCUGAAAAUUGCAGGGUACUUCAUUUCAGAAUUUGUAUAUAUUUAUUGUUAGAGAUAAACUUGUUGAAGUAUAUCUAAUCUAAUUUUAUGUUAUAAUUCCUGUUUAAGAUAAUUUUAGUGUCAGCAAGCCAAGAACUGAAGUAAAUACUGCCGUAAAUUGUAAUACAUUAAAAUACCAGAGAAAUACUUCCAUUCAGCCGUGACUUGAUUUGCUUAUUGUUUAAGGACAAAAAAUAAAAAAUUCUCAGAUUACAUCAACAUUGGAAAUAUAUACUGUUGGGUUGCCCCUACCAUGCAGGCCAUGCAGCUGAUGAAGUUUGCUAACCUUGACUCGCCCAGUUCCCUGGAAGUGUGAAUCACUUUUAAAAGAAUUGUAGAUUUCCGUUUCCCUUAGCAACCUUCUAUCAAGCCUGCAAAACUUGGAAAAAUGUGGAGAUAAUGCUGCCUCCGAGGAGGGAAUGCUGGAUCUAACACUAUUUUUGUUUGGUAACUAUCAAUUUCUCUGCCUUUUUAUGCCCUUGUUUCACCAGGAGAGAGAAGAGAGAGGGGGGAAAAAAGGAUAUACAAGGAUGCAUGGUUCACAAUGCCAAUGCCUGUAUUCAUAUAAUUUGUGUUAAUAAGAUGUAAAAACCUUCUUACGUUUUCUCCCAGUUGUCUGUCUACUGUUCCUCUGAGGAAGGCAUGAAAUUAAGGAUCCCAUUGGAUAGAUCUUAUUAUGAUUCAUCUGGAAAGAGCCCUAGGAUUUUAAUGUCUGCCCGUUGCCCUCCCUGUUGUGUGAAAAAUGGUGGGAGCUAAUGAGCCCUUGAAUGACUCUGGCCAUCUCAGAACACUGAUGUAUUGGUUGUCUAAGAGCCUUCUUCCUACGUGUAGCAAUAAUGAAGCUACAUAAAUGGAAAGUCCUGAAACUUCGAAAUUCUUUUUCUGGAGAAGUAGCUUCACACAGCACAUUUAAAGCACAACUGAAUUUUUCUUUUCAUGGCUGCUUUUUUAACAUGGAAAAUUUAUAUUUUCUGUAAUACUGAUUCCUAAUUAAUAUCUUAGCACCAAGUUCAGCAUAUUAAAGGCAGGACUGGUAUAUAAACAAAACCUGAGUGGCUCUGUGAUAGAAUAGGAGUGAGCAGACUUGAGAUCUUCCCUAGAGCUGAGGGAAACCAGGAAGGGGCAACGGUAGCAGCAAUUCAUGUGGUUUACUCUAGUGGCCAAAAGCAUUGAAAAGGUGUUAGCCCUGCUGCUCUGGCUAGACGCCAGUGAAGUAUUUAUAAGAUGCUGCCUCUGAUUCCUUCUAUGACUGUAAAAGUUUGGGGGAGAAGGGGACCUUUCUUUCCAGGCCUCAUUCCUUGCCUCUUGAGCAGUGCUGUGAUGUGUCCGGGGAAGCAGCUAUCCUUAUUUCACCUCUGAAGCUGUUUCACCUCAAAGAGGCUAUGAUUUCCCCUAAUGCAAUAGCUGGCCAUUCUCUUGCUGAAUGUGGAAAGUACUUUGGAAUCCUAUGGCAAGAAAGCAACUAAAGACAAUUUGAAGUCACAACUGUCCACAUCAUGUGAAAAUCAACACUCUUUUCCAAACCAGCAGCUAGAACAAGAAGUUGACUUGAGGAUGUUGACUCAAUACUGAUGGGUAAUUUUAGGACCUUUUCUAGGGAUACCUCCUGUCUUAGUCCAUUCAAGCUGCUAGGACAAAAUACUAUAGACUGGUGACUUAUAAAUAACAAACAGUUAUUGCUGAGUUCUGCAGUCUGGGUAGUCUAAGAUCAAGGUUCUAGUAGACCCAGAGUCUGGUGAGGUCUUACUUUCUUGUUCAUAGAUGGUUCUAUGUCUUCUCACUGUAUCCUCACAUGGUAGAAGGGGUGAGAGAGCUUACUGAGGUCUCUUUUAUAAGGGCAUUAAUCUCAUUCAUGAGGGCUACAUUCUCAUAACCUAAUCACCUCGCCAGAGCCCCACCUCCUAAUACCGUCACAGUAAUGAUUAAGUUUCAACAUAUGAAUUUUGUGGGGACACAAACAUUCCAUCUAUAGUACCUUCACAUGCAAACUAUUUCCAAAAUAAGACUUUCUGUGUGUGCAUGGGGACUUACCACAGUUCAUAAGAAGCAGUAUGAGCUGUUGGGCAUAAACAGAGCUUUCUUU